GGGUCUCGCUCGUUACCUGACUUAACAGGAUGCUUCACAGUACGAACUGACGACGGCCAUGCACCACCUCUCAGCUAAUCCGGUAAAGUCUUCAGCCUGACCUUCAUAUCGCUGUCGCCCCCGGUGAGAUUUCCGGCGUUGAAUCCAAUUAAACCGCAGGCUCCACCCGUUGUAGUGCUCCCCCGCCAAUUCCUUUAAGUUUCAGCCUUGCGGCCAUACUUCCCAGGUGGCUCGCUUCACGGCUUCCCUACGGCACCAAUCACGGUCGCACCGUGACUGACACCUAGCGAGCAUCGUUUACGGCUAGGACUACCCGGGUAUCUAAUCCGGUUCGUGCCCCUAGCUUUCGUCCCUUACCGUCGGACCCGUUCUGGCGAGACGCCUUCGCCACUGGUGGUCCCUCGAGGAUCACAAGAUUUCACCCCUACCCCUGAAGUACCUCUCACCUCUCCCGGCCUCGAGCCAGACAGUAUCUCCUGAAAGCCUGACAGUUAAGCUGCCAGAUUUCUCAAGAGACUUAUCCGGCCGGCUACAGACCCUUUAGACCCAAUAAUAACGGUUACCACUCGAGCCGCCGGUGUUACCGCGGCGGCUGGCACCGGUCUUGCCCGGCCCUUGCUAUGAAAUGCUUUUUAGGCAUCUCGACAGCCAGAUUUGUAACCUGGCACUCGAGGUUCCCUUAUCGCUGUUGCCAGCAUUGUAAAGUUUUUCGCGCCUGCUGCACCCCGUAGGGCCUGGAUUCGUGUCUCAGAAUCAUCUCGGGGCUCUU
rnacentral:rRNA from 1 species